AAAAGCCCCAUUCAUCUUAGGUCUGUAAGGAGAAGAGUUAUGAUAUUCGAUCCUGAAGUUGUCACAAAGCUCUUUCAUCAUUUUAUUAUCCAAGUUCGACCCAUUAUUAAAGAUGACUUGCUUGGAACACCAUAUCAACAAAUAAUAAGAUUCUAUAUAAAUCUGACCACAACCUGCUUGGUCAUAUUAGCAUAAGAUGCUUCUUCAACCCAUUUGGUGAAGUAAUCAAUAGCCACCAGAAUAAAAUGAUGUAUGUUCGAAGCUUUGGUCUCAAUCAUACCAAUCAUGUCAAU
rnacentral:lncRNA from 1 species